UUGAACGCUGGCGGCAUGCUUUACACAUGCAAGUCGCACGGUAACAGGCCGCAAGGUGCUGACGAGUGGCGAACGGGUGAGUAAUGCAUCGGAACGUGCCCAGUCGUGGGGGAUAACUACUCGAAAGAGUAGCUAAUACCGCAUACGAUCUAUGGAUGAAAGCGGGGGACCGUAAGGCCUCGCGCGAUUGGAGCGGCCGAUGUCAGAUUAGGUAGUUGGUGGGGUAAAGGCUCACCAAGCCAACGAUCUGUAGCUGGUCUGAGAGGACGACCAGCCACACUGGGACUGAGACACGGCCCAGACUCCUACGGGAGGCAGCAGUGGGGAAUUUUGGACAAUGGGCGCAAGCCUGAUCCAGCAAUGCCGCGUGCAGGAAGAAGGCCUUCGGGUUGUAAACUGCUUUUGUACGGAACGAAACGGCUCUGGUUAAUACCCGGGGCUAAUGACGGUACCGUAAGAAUAAGCACCGGCUAACUACGUG
rnacentral:rRNA from 1 species